rnacentral:lncRNA from 1 species
AGGCCACACCCAGGGCAUAUGGAGGUUCCCAGGCUAGGGGUCAAAAUGGAGCUGCAGCCAUUGGCCCACACCACAGACACAGCAACUCGGGAUCCAAGCUGCAUCUGCCACCUACACCACAGCUCAUGGCAACACCAGAUCCUUAACCCACUGAGCAAGGCCAGAGAUCAAACCUGCAUCCUCAUGAAUCCUAGUCAGGUUCCUUAACCACUGUGCCACAAACUCCUGGGCUGAGUAUUUUAGAGGCAUCCAUUUAAUUCUCCCAUAAAUACCACCAGGUAAGUAUAACUGACAGCACUGACACAUGUUAGUGAGAUUUCAAUCCUAAAGAAAAUUAAGUAAUUUAGCCAAAGCCUUACAACCAGAUUUUAACCUUAAAGUGAUAGACUGUAAAACUUGGGGGUGAGUUCCUGAUACUACCUUUUCCAAAAGGGGCUGUGAGAAAUAGAACCUUAUUAAGGUAGAAAACCUUCUGGGGAUAAGAAGAGACAGGAGAAGGAAAAAAAAAACAACAAAAACUCAAGACAGCCUGGGAGACUUCUCAUGGCUGACAUAUCCUGGAAAAUACAGCUACAUUUCUUAAAAGGCUCACUAAAAAAUGAAUCAAAAGACAUACUAAAACAUUCAUCUGCCAAAUAAAAUAAUUUCAUUGGAAUGAAAAUUAUCCCUGGGGGCAGAUAAGAGAAAGCAGCAAAAAUAUCUUCUAUUUUAGACUAUUUAAGCAUCUCACUUUUCCUCUGGCCUCAACUGGGAGGAGGAACGAUGAAGCAAGGUCAGCCCCACAGUCCCCUUUCCCAGCAAGGAAGGGGAGCCCAAGUGACCUCUGAGAGCUCAGGUGGAGGGGCUGAAGGACAACAAAAAGGGAUGCUUUUGUGUCUCUCUCUGCAGGGCACUGUUGAACCUGAUCCCGUGCCCUCCGGGAAUUCUCACUGACCUUUCUAUUGUUAAACUCCAGGGCCAUUUCUCAAAACCAAGCCUCCUUCCAAGACCUUCUUUCCUUCCUUUUAGCAGAACCCUAUGAUUCCACUUUCCUCCUUUAUAAGCUGACACCAUCUACACUGUCACCUGGGCAACUCUGCCACCCCAUGCAUUCAGGCUUACUGGAUGUUUACCUGUAUCUCCACACCUGCCAACAAUCCAUCUCACUUUUGAGGUUUAACAACAGUGUAGGGAGAGAGACAGAUGAUAAGCAUCAAUUUUGGAAAACUAACCUUUAAGGAACCAUAUCAAGUUCUUAAAAGUUGUAAUCCUGGCCUAUAGUAAUUACAACUUAGUGAACAUGGAGCACAUGGACCUCCUCUUCCCUGCAAAACUAAUAGGGCAGGUGGGUUUUCAAAGUGUGGUCUCCAGUCCAAACACCUCAACAUCACCCCAGGAGAUUGAGAGAAAUGCAAACUUUGGCUGUAGAUCUACUAAAUCAGAAACUCAAGGUAGGUAGGGGUUCAACUACUCAGGCACCAAUGUUUCAGAACAACUGCUUUUAGAAAAUAAUGUGAAAACUCUAUAACUUAAAACCAGCAACAAACUUCUUAUCUAGGCAUAUGCUAUCUCAAACAGAAAUCUCGUGCUUUCAAACAAAAAAAUUUGCAUAUGAGGUUGAUAUGUAAAAACCGCCUUUAAGGAGUUCUGGUUGUGGCGCAGCGGAAAUGAAUCCGACUAGGAACCAUGAGGUUGCAGGUUCGAUUCCUGGGCUUGCUCAGUGGGUUAAGGAUCCCGCAUUGCUGUGAACUGUGGUGUAGCCUGCAGUUGUGGCUCAAUUCUGGUGUUGCUGUGGCUGUGGAGUAGGUUGGCAGCUGCAGCUGCAAUUCCACCCCUAGCCUGGGAACUUUCAUAUGCCAAAGGUGUGCCCUAACAAUCAAUCAAUCAAUCAAUCAAUAGUUGCAAAAGUGUGAUAAGUAAAAAUAGAGGUCCUAUAUAGAGAUGUCCAAUGGGAUUGUGAAAACCAUCAUGAAUUUGAAUAUACUUUAACAGGAAGUCAACGGUUGCAAUCCCACCGGAAAAUGCAAAUUAAGAUGUACUCAUUUAUGGGGCAUAACAAGUUAGAAUGAUGCAAUUCCUGAAAAGACAAUAUUCCAGCUAUGAGGAAGAAUUUUGUUUCUCUAAAGAAACAAAAAAAGGGUUAUGAUUAGCAUGUCCAAUUGCAUUUAUUUUCUGAAGCGGACAGAGUAAGAAACAUCUCAUUAUCUUGUGUUCUUAUCCAUUUGUUUAGUAAAUACUUAUAAAUGAAGCCGAGGCAAUCUUCGACCUAAUGCAAUUUGAUCUCGUUGAAUGUAAAAAAGCAAAGGAUCCUUUAUUAGCAUGACUUGAUGUGCUGAAAAUAUUCUAUAUGUGCUUGUUUUUUAGUAGAGGCCUCUUCUUUAAAUCUGUUCAUCAUUUUCAGCAAAUUGUAGGAAAUAUUCUAUCUUCUGAAAAAUGAUUUGAAUUUUGACUAUGAUGAUGACCUUGAAACUCAAGAAAUAGUCCCUCUGCCCACGGUUUUUAAUGUCUGACCUUACUGUUUCUUGCACAAGUUGAUUUCAAACAGUGAAAUUCAGGAAUGGAUUAUUUCAUGGGUUCUACCUUGUAGAAGCAAAGGUGUCUACACAAUAUUUAGAAGAUGGGGGUUAUGAGAGUCAAGACAAGCACUUCCAUCUUUGGUCUCGAAAGUUCUAUCCUUACUCCCUUUGAACAGAUAUUCUCACCUUUUAAUUUUUUUUAUUUUUAUUUUUGUCUUUUUAGGGCUGCACCCUUGCAUAUGGACGUUCCCAGGCUAGGAGUCAAAUCGGAGCUGUAGCCGCUGGCCUACGCCAGAGCCACACAACACAGGAUCUGAGCUGCGUCUGCGACCUAUGCCACAGCUCACAGCAAUGUUGGAUCCUUAACCCACUGGGUGAGACCAGGGAUUGAACCUGCAUCCUCAUGGAUGCUCUCAGAUUUGUUUCCUCUGAACCACGACAGGAAAUCCCAAUUUUUAUUUUUCGUUUUGCUUUUUAGGGCCACACCUUGUGGCACACGGCAGUUCCCAGGCUAGGGGUCAAAUUGGAGAUACAGCUGCUGGCCUACACCACAACCACAGCAACUCGGGUUCCAAGGUGCAUCUGCAAGCUACACCACAGCUCACAGCCAGAUGGUGGAUACUAGUUGGAUUUGUUUCCGCUGAGCCAAGACGGGAAUUCCCCUCUCACCUUUUUAGAAAAGAGCUUUACUGAGAUAUAUUUGAUAUAUCAUAAAUCCAUCCAUUUCAAGUGUGCAACUAAAUGAUUUUGAGUUAACUUAUGAAGUGGUACCAAAGAGCCAUCGCCAUCAUCUGUUUCAGAACAUUUUCAUCUCCUUCAACAAAACCGCAAUCUCAUCCCUGGCCCUUCCAGUCCCAGGAAAACACUAACCUACUUUCUGUCUCUAUAGAUUGGCCCAUUCAGGAAACUUUUUGUUUUGGCUGUGCCCAUAGCACGUGGACGUUCCCGAGCUAGGGACUGAACCUGCGCCAUAGCAGUGACCCAAGCCACGGCAGUGGCAAUGCUGGAUCCUUAAUCUGCUGUGUCUCAGGAGAACUACUGGACAUUUUAUACACAGGAAAUCAUAUAAUAUGUGGACUCUUGAAUCAGGUUUCUUCCACUUAGCAUAAGGUUUUAGGAUUUUGUCUGUUUUCAGCAUAUAUCAAAUAAUUAUUUGUUUGCUUAUUUAUUUUUCCUGCUGUAUCAUCCCAGCAUAUCCUCUUAAUUGAAACUCUUCAUUAAGACGCUUCAUAUUAUAUGUGCCUGCCAGGCUGAUGGGAGCCAACUUUGGGGGCUUCUCUUUCCCCUUUAGAGGUUUUACUAUCAUCUCUCAAGCCUUCGAGAUGUCGUUUCUCCAGGGGUUGACCUAGCCCCUCCUCUCCCAGGCCACUGCCUGCUGCAAGAUUAACGACUUGUUCACGUGUGUUACCUAGCAUAAGCCACACCCCUACACCCCAACACCAAACUCCGCAAAGAAUAAGCCACCUGCAUGGAGAGAAAAAUCCCUUUCCUCAAGACAUGUACUUCAGCAGAGUGCUCAGGGAGGGAGACGUUUAAUGCAUGGAAGGGUAAGAAGAGCAUUCUAGUUCCAUUGUCCAACAAAGGACCAAAAUCUGCCAGAUAAUUUAGCUGAGAGGAUUUAGCCAAAGAGUUAAACUCAACACAAGCUUUAUUUAGGCUCAUUCUAACAAACAGGAUCAGCAGAGAAGUUCUUUUUAAAGAAAGUUCUCUUUCAUCUGACUAAAAAGAAGGAACAUAUUUAAACCAAAACAGGAACUACUCUGGCAAUAUAUGUGUAAAAAAAUAAGCACCCUAUGGGGCUCUUUUUAAAUUAGCUAGAGCGCACAGAGAACUCUUUGAAAAGAAAACUCUGGGGGGGGGAAACAUUUCUCUUGAUUUCAUAAACACUCAUUGUUUAAUCAUCUGAAGAAAGUGCAAACUUAUGAUUAAGUUCCUCCACCUCCUCGAGGGAUGAGCUCUUUUAAGUCGCCUCUUUUCCCCUGCACCCCAAUCCCCUGCUGUAUUUGGGGAGGCAGGAGAAGUAACCAGCCUACCAGGGAGGCAAGAAGCGAUGACCCAACAGGUCCUAGUUCUUAAAAUGGAUACACACGGGCAGGGUGAUGCCCUGUACCCACAGCACAAAAAGCUGGGUUUUGCCCACUUGCUGCCGCAGUGUACUCACAAGAUGUUCAAAUUCCACUUCAGUUUAUUUUGCUGCUUUUUUUUUUUUAAAGAUAAAAAUGACUUUGGAGUUCCCAUCGUGGCACAGUGGAAACUAAUCCAACUAGGAACCAUGAAGUAGUGGGUUCAAUCCCUGGCCUCGCUCAGUGGGUUAAAGAUCUGGUGUUAAGGUGAGCUGUGGUGUCGGUCACAGAGGCGGCUCGGAUCUGGCAUUGCUGUGGCUCUGGCAUGGGCCGGGAGCAACAGCUCUGAUUAGACCCCUAGCUUGGGAACCUCCAUAUGUCGCCAGGAGCGGCCCUAAAAAAACAAAAAAAAAAAAAAAAAAAAAA